CUUCUAUUAUUUGUACUCAGUAACAAAGAUUCAUCCUUGUGUCCGUCAAGCAACAAGGAGAAUCUUUGUCACUUAGUGUAAUUAAUAGCUGUAC
rfam:Canis lupus familiaris chromosome 31, whole genome shotgun sequence.